UUUUAUUUUUUUUUUUAUUUUUUAUUUUUAUUUUUUUUAUCAUUCUCUAAACCAAAAACAAUGAUGGAUAAGCUUUCCCAUUUUCAGUCAAGUGAAAUUGUGACGAGUAUAUGAGGAAAACAAGCAUUAAUCGAGAAGAUUAAUUCCUUCAGAGUUCGUGGCUACCUCUUCCGAACCCGAGAACUCUUGGAAGUGUAGUGAGUAAUGUUAAUAGAGUUUGAAUCAUAUUUAUUGUGCGGGAUCAAUGACAUUUACAUUAUGUGGCAUUUUUUAUUUGGUUGAAAAAUUAUCUAUUUGUCUAUCAUAACAAUAAAA
rnacentral:misc_RNA from 1 species